UUCUAUUAACUGCCCUCAUUCUAAGAUUCUCCAGUCUUUCAACAUCUCUGCACAGCUCUUCCAUUUUGAAAAACAUACAUUCCAUGUAUUCCAGUCACUGUUGUCUCUCUGAAACUCAGAAUCUCUCUCCCUAAAUCAAAUUGAUCUCAUCUCUCUACUUGGCUCCUCCUGUUAUAAUCUUGAACGUUGCGUGGCUUCAGAAGGACUACACCAGGCCAUGUAAGGUAAAGGUGGCCGGUGAACCAAGUGGAUUCUGGGAAUAUGGUGGCUAUUGCCUUGGCAACAGGUGAUUGGAUCCAGCCUAUGUGAUGUCAUGGGUUUCAGAGGUCCUGAUACCAACACCUUUGCCCUUUUUCAGGCACAGGAUGACUUCCUUAGGAGGACUAAGACACCAUUGCGAUAUUGACCAUAUCCCCCUGUCUCUAUGGGAUUCAUUUCCUUUUCACCAGUCUGCUGAAUAUCUAAAACACACACCUGUGCAUUUAUUUUAUAGAGAAUGCUUAUUUUUAGUGUAACUCACUUCUACAUAAUUCAUGUUUUUGUUGAACAAAAAAGAGCCUUAGCCUGGUUUCCAUAUGGCUGCCACGCUGAUUUGUGGGAAGCUGGAUAGAGACAGUAGGCCACAGUUCAUGGGCAAUUGCCUAGAUUGCUGGAUGAUAUACAGAAAUCUAUAACAGCUUAUAAAGGAUCACCGAGGAUUUUUAAUGAAGAACAAUUUGAAAUAUCUCAACAUUCUUAGCUAAGCUGGACUUUUGAAUUAUUGGAGGUUUUAUUUAUUUAUUUUAUUUUAUUUUAUUUUAUUUUUGAAAAUUGUGAAAAUCUGGAGACAAGGUGUAAUGAAUUUUGAACCGGAAGCUCCUAAGAACAACGUUGCCAUAUUUUCUUUUCAGAUCUUAUGUAGCUGGGCUUUCUUUGACAGUAUGUGUUGAAUAUCAUCUAAUUGGCUUUAUUAAAAAGGGAAAGAAGACAUCUUUAAACUGCAGAAUUACAGGGAUGGAAUUGGAGAGAAGCCUGAAAAAAAGAAGGUCCA